CCUGUUGCUGAUUAGAGUUAGUUUUGGAGAAGAUUUUCAAUUCUUAUGAUUUCCUCUCCUCAUCUUAUCAGCAUAAACACAUGAGGUGACAGGAAGCCACGUAUCUAGUUUGAAUUGUAACGGAAGAUUUCAGAUCAAAAAGGCGUUCCUGCUGGAUGGAUUCUGAAUACAGCAAAUAUAUGGCAAAAAGGGAUGUGAACUUUUGUCAUUCCAAGGAAUGUGAGAAUCCUGCCUGAAGGGUGAACUGUGAAAUGCAACAUGAGUGACACGGAGAGGGCAGCGGGUUCUAUGUUGGUGUCUAACAGCACGGAUGAGUACAUUCACAGGCACUGCCCAAGAAGCUGAUGAACCUCCAGAGUUCCUUGUUGAGGAAGAAAAUCAUCAGGGAAAGACUUGACUUUUUUUUAGAAGUCCAAUGAUGCAUGGCUCCAGGAAAAAUAUAGUCACAGGAUGCAAUGUUUUUUUGAAGAUUUUUCCACAUUAAUUAGUUUUCACAGGAAGCAUAAAGUAGCUACAUUUAGUAGCAGUAGCCUAUAAUAUCAUCAAGAUAGUUGUUUACAAUAAAAUAUAAUAUUCAUAUUUGCUUCUGUUUAAAUCUUAAAGCAUAUAUUAUCAGUCUAAUAUAUCAACUGUCACUGUUAUAUUUUAUUACUUUUAAUAAUUUUCUAUGGCUCAGCGUAUCUGGGGAGCACACUU